rnacentral:rRNA from 1 species
AGAACGAACGCUGGCGGCGUGGAUAAGACAUGCAAGUCGAACGGAAUAGUUUUGUAGCAAUACGAGGCUAUUUAGUGGCGAACGGGUGCGUAACACGUGGAUUACAUGCCGGGAAGCGAGGGAUAGCCCAGGGAAACUUGGAUUAAUACCUCAUGUGGUCGCAAGACUAAAGGCGGGGCAACCUGUCGCUUCCUGAUUGGUCCGCGGCCUAUCAGCUAGUUGGAGAGGUAAAAGCUCCCCAAGGCUACGACGGGUAGCUGGUC